rnacentral:misc_RNA from 1 species
UUUCCGUAGGUGAACCUGCGGAAGGUUCAUUAAAGAGAAUAUGCCCUUCGGGGUCGAUCUCCCACCCUUUGUUUAUAUUACCUUUGUUGCUUUGGCAGGCCCGUCUUCGGACCACCGGCUUCGGCUGGUCAGUGCUUGCCAGAGGACCCAAAACUCUUAUUAUUAAUGUCGUCUGAGUACUAUAUAAUAGUUAAAACUUUCAACAACGGAUCUCUUGGUUCUG